CGCCCCCCACCAACCCACUCCCGCCGGGAGUCGGGUCGAGUGAAAGUGGUCGUCCCGGCGUCGGGGUCCCCCAAAACCCCGACCAAGGGUCGGCUGAAAUGGAAGGAAUCGGGCCGCCGUGGUGACACAGUCCGCGAUCGGGUGAUCCGCGCUCCCGACUUCGGGAGCCCGGUAUUUUUCUAAGUGCGUGGCUGCGUCCCCAGUUGGCUCCGGUUACCUCGUGCAGGUCGAGCGCGCCACCCCCUCCCACCUGGUGGGUCGGGGCGGCGCGCGUCACGUCACGC
rnacentral:misc_RNA from 1 species